AGCCCCCAGAUUCCUUACCCCUGGGAUCUGAACACUGGGUCUGAGUGACUGUAAAUGGAGGAAAUGUAAAACUGAAGUGGACUUGGCAUUCUUUAGUGACACUCAAGUUCAUUUCAAACAAAC
rnacentral:snoRNA from 1 species